rnacentral:misc_RNA from 1 species
GAUGAAGAACGCAGCAAAAUGCGAUAAGUAAUGUGAAUUGCAGAAUUCAGUGAAUCAUCGAAUCUUUGAACGCACAUUGCGCCCGCUGGUAUUCCGGCGGGCAUGCCUGUUCGAGCGUCAUUUCAACCCUCAAGCCCCCGGGUUUGGUGUUGGGGAUCGGCUCUGCCCUUCUGGGCGGUGCCGCCCCCGAAAUACAUUGGCGGUCUCGCUGCAGCCUCCAUUGCGUAGUAGCUAACACCUCGCAACUGGAACGCGGCGCGGCCAUGCCGUAAAACCCCAACUUCUGAAUGUUGACCUCGGAUCAGGUAGGGUUACCCGCUGAACUUAAGCAUAUCAAUAAGCGGAGGA